rnacentral:misc_RNA from 1 species
GAUGAAGAACGUAGCGAAAUGCGAUAAGUAAUGUGAAUUGCAGAAUUCAGUGAAUCAUCGAAUCUUUGAACGCACAUUGCGCCCGCCAGUAUUCUGGCGGGCAUGCCUGUCCGAGCGUCAUUUCAACCCUCGGGCCCCCCUCUGCGGGCGGCCCGGCGUUGGGGCUCAGGCGCCGUCUCUGCUCGGCGCCUGUCCCCUAAAUGCAGUGGCGGCCUCGCCGCUGCCUCCUCCGCGUAGUAGCACAAACCUCGCGGCUGGAAGGCGGCGCGGCCACGCCGUAAAACCCCCCAACUUUACCAAGGUUGACCUCGGAUCAGGUAGGAAUACCCGCUGAACUUAAGCAUAUCAAUAGCGGAGGA